GGAGGAGGAGGAAAUAAAGGAAAGAAAAAAAGUAACUCAGCUAUAAAUGAAAAAAAAAGUAGAGGAAACGUUAACUGUCUUUUGGAGCUUUCUAGCUUUUACUAUAUUUUGUUGAAACUUUUGCCCACCUCAUACACACACCCUCUCUCUUUCUGCUUUCGCUCUCUUCAAGUUGGCCUUGAAAGCCCACCCAUUUUUUCUUCUCUCUCUCUCUCGAAGUCACUCCCCCAGAGAGUUGAGCUUCUCUCUCUUUGUAUGCAAAAUAUAUGAAUAAAAUAACCAAACCGUGGGGUCGUAUAAGAGCGUCUGAGAUCUACUUGUAGGACUAGAUCAGAUAGGGAUUGGCAGAGUAAGGAAAAGCGAGAGCACGCACGCACAGGAGAAGAAGAAGGAUUAGACCUAAUCAAGGUUCAUGAAGAAAGGCGAUUCCAUUUGACAGAGUUUGCCCUGUGGAAGUCAGUUGGGUGUUGAGAUUGUCUUGGUUGGCAUCCAAGUGGAUUUUGUUAAAAGCAUCAUUUUGGUAUCUAAAGACUGCGGCAAGUAUUGGAAAUUUAUUAUCAUCGCAGCUGCACUUUUAAGCUAUUUUGUUUGACUCAAGUGAGUUGUAUUAUAGGGCCUGAAAGACUCAAACUCAUCUAGGUCAUCAUUGGAUGCUAUAACAUUUUUUUGAUAAGGAAUGCUAUAACCUUUUCUUGAAGUUCUUUGGAUAUGUUGGAUUAGACUUGAGGUUAACUGUGGUUAAGCAUUGUUGAUCCCAGAAAUUGCAAUGUCUCAGUAAUUGAAUUUUGAACGUUGUACGUUCCCUCUUGCAAACAAGGUUGGAAGCCAUGUGAUUUAUAAGUUUACACUCAACUGGAGGUCCCUUCUGUUGCUCAGAAGCGCUAUUUAAAUAUUGUAGUGGACUGGUACCUCUGUUUUGUUUGAAGUACCGAUGAAUAACAUGGAAUCUGGGAGUUCUACUUCUAACAAAAUUCUGGGUAGUCUUAAUCAACUACUUCCUGCAGUUGCACCUAUGCUUCUGAUUUCAAUUGGAUAUGUUGACCCUGGAAAGUGGGCAGCAACUAUUGAAGGUGGCGCCCAUUUUGAGUUCGAUUUGGUAGCAUUGAUGCUUGUUUUUAAUCUCUCUGCUAUUUUCUGUCAAUACCUAUCAGCUCGGAUUGGCUUGGUCACCGGAAGAGAUCUUGCUCGGAUUUACUGGGAUGAGUACGAUAAGUUCACAUGCUUCUUCUUGGGAGUCCAAACAGAGCUUUCUGUGAUUGCAUUGGAUCUUACCAUGAUCUUGGGCCUUGCACAUGGACUUAAUCUUCUUUUUGGCUGGGACUUGUUCUCUUGUGUCUUUUUGACUGCUAUCAGUGCUGUUUUAUUUCCACUUUUUACCAUCCUCAUGGAACACAGCAAGGCAAAGUUCCUAUGUAUAUGUCUAUCCGGCUUCAUUUUGCUUUCUGUUGUCCUUGGAGUACUCAUCAGUCAAGCAGAAGUCUCACUGUCCAUGAAUUUGACACUAACAAAGUUAUGUGGGGAGAGUGCAUUUGCAUUGAUGAGUCUUCUUGGGGCAAACAUCAUGCCUCAUAACUUUUUUCUCCAUUCUUCUAUUGUACAGCAACCUAUGUCAUCGCCAAACAUUUCCAAGGAUGCCUUGUGUCAUAAGCAUUUUGUUGCCAUCUUCAGCAUCUUCAGUUGUAUUUAUCUGGUGAAUUAUGUGCUGAUGGUCUCAGCAGCAAAUGUGUUAGACAGUGACGUCUUGCUCACUUUUCAGGACGCAAUGUCACUAAUGGAACAGGUUUUUGCAAGUCCUCUGGCUCCCGCUGCCUAUCUAUUGGUUCUGUUUUUCUCUAAUCUGAUCACAUCAUUUACCUGGAGUCAAUGUGGGCAAGUAGUUUUGCAUGAUUUCUUAAGGCUAGACAUUCCUGGUUGGCUUCAUUGUGCCACAAUCAGACUUAUUGCUGUUGUUCCAGCCCUUUACUGUGUUUGGAGUUCAGGAGCUGAAGGGAUGUAUCAAUUGCUUAUAUUCACUCAGGUGAUGGUAGCUCUACUGCUUCCAUCUUCUGUGAUCCCCCUGUUCCGUGUUGCUGCAUCAAGACCGAUAAUGGGUGUCUACAAAAUUUCUCAUUUUGUUGAGUUUCUAGCAAUCAUCACAUUUAUUGGGAUGCUAGGAUUGAAGGUCAUGUUUAUGGUAGAAAUGAUAUUGGGGAAUAGUGACUGGGCAGUUAAUUUGAGGUGGAACAUGGGGGGUAGUUUAUCUUUUACUUAUUUACUUUUUCUUGUCACUGCUUUUGCAUCCCUUUGUUUGAUGCUCUGGCUAUUAGCCACUCCAUUAAAGUCUGCAAAUGCAAGAUUAGACGCUCAGAUCUCCAACUGGGUUACACCGGAGGCUAUACUUGAUUUGUCCACAGACAGAGAGGAAACUGAUUUAACCGAAACUGGAUAUCAUGGAGAGGCUCCUCUUCUGAAGCAAGAACUGUUGUCAGCACAUGGGAAGAGUCAUUCAGAUAUGCCAGUUGCUAAUUUUGAUCUUGAUUUGCCUGAAACCAUUAUGGAGCCUGAUCAAGAGCUUCUUUUGACUAAUGUGGAGGAAAAUCGCUCUAGUGCAAUACUUUCUAGCUCCCCCAUAUUUGCUCUGGAGGAAUCACCAGCCAUGGUAGAGUCAGUCCCAGUUUCAACUGUUUCUGAUGAGGUUUCUGAUAUUAAGUUGCUGGAUGAUGGGACUGCCAAAAUUGAAUCAAUGGACCCUCUGGAGAAGACUCUGGGUGUUGAGGGAGAGCUACAAACUGAAAAAGAUGAUGAUGAGGGAGACUCCUGGGAGCCUGAGGCAUAUAAAGGGGUUUCUGGGGGCACCCCAUCUUUGACAUCCGAGGGUCCGGGAUCUUUUAGAAGUCUUAGUGGGAAAGGUGAUGAAGGUGGGAGUGGUGCUGGAAGUCUUUCAAGAUUAGCAGGAUUGGGGCGUGCUGCAAGGCGUCAACUAGCGGCAGUUCUUGACGAGUUUUGGGGACAGCUGUAUGAUUUCCAUGGCCAGGCUACUCAAGAAGCAAAGUCUAAGAAACUGGAUGUGUUGCUGGGAGUAGAUUCUAAGUCUGCCUCUUCAUCUCUAAAAGUGGAUACCACUGCAAGGGAGUUUUCUGGAUGCUUCCCAUCUGUGGGAGGCAGGGUAUCUGAUAAUCUAAUUAACUCAAGCUUAUAUGGGUCUCCCAAGCAGCAGAACAUCCAAAGGAGUUUAGAGCCAUCAUAUGGGGUUCAAAGGGGAACUUCCUCGUUAAGGUCCAACCACAUGCAAUUGUUGGAUGCAUAUGUGCAGAAUUCAAGCCGCAAUGUUGCCUUUGGCGAGAGACGCUAUUCUAGUGUGCGCAGUAUACCAUCUUUUGAAAGCUUGGAUAAUCAGCCUGCUACAAUACAUGGUUAUCAGAUUGCAUCCUAUCGAAUGGCUAAAGACAGAAACUCUGAUCACCCAAAUAAUCAGAUGGAGGGGGCAUCCUUGGGUAUUUCUAACUACAGAGACUCAAUUACAUAUGCAUUGGGGCAAAAUAUGCAAAAUGGGUUAAGCUCUGAUCAGGCUUCUGGUUACCAGAACCUGGCAAUAUCCAGAGAAAGUCCAUUGCAUUCAGAAAGACCAUAUUAUGAUCCUCGUUCUUCUGGAGUGGCCGAGAGUGUGGCAAGUUCAGCCAACACGAAGAAGUACCAUAGCUUGCCAGACAUGUCUGGAUUCUCCGUCCCACCUCGGGAUUUGUAUGUACCUGAUAAGAGUACUCAAUGGGACAGUCCCAUUGGAUAUGGAUCCUCUGUUGGCAGAACUGGUUAUCCCAAUUCAGGAUCAAGGGCAGGACAUCCUUUGGCAUUUGAUGAACUCUCUCCAUCAAAAGUUUACAGAGAUGGUUUUACCUCACAGUUGAAUCCUAGUAUAGAUACUGGAUCCCUCUGGUCUAGACAACCUUACGAACAGUUUGGCGUAGCUGACAAAAUUCAUACUGUUGGGAGUGAAGGACUUGGAGGUAGGCUAGGUUCAAUAACUCAAGAAGCUACUUCUAUUGUGGAUUCCGAGGUCAAACUUCUCCAGGGUUUCAGACAUUGCAUUGUAAAGCUACUGAAAUUGGAAGGGUCUGAUUGGCUGUUUGGUCAAAAUGAUGGGGCUGAUGAGGAUCUAAUAGACCGUGUGGCUGCUAGGGAGAGAUUUUUAUAUGAAGCUGAAACUAGAGAGAUAAAUCGGGUAAUUCAUAGGGGUGAGCCUCAGUAUUUGUCUUCUGAGAGAAAGUCUGGUUCUGCAAUGAGGACUAAUGAGGCGAGCUUCAACAACUUUUUGAUUUCUUCUGUUCCUCAUUGUGGGGAGGGCUGUGUUUGGAAAUCAGAUUUGAUAGUAAGCUUUGGGGUGUGGUGCAUCCACCGGAUUCUUGACCUAUCACUCAUGGAAAGCCGGCCAGAGCUGUGGGGGAAAUAUACUUAUGUACUCAACCGUCUUCAGGGGAUCAUAGAUCUUGCAUUUACGAAACCUCGUUCUCCAAUGGUCCCGUGCUUCUGCCUUCAAAUCCCUGUGGCAUUCCCACAGAAGACAAGCCCACCCGUUUCAAAUGGAAUGCUGCCCCCUGCUUCAAAACCAGGCAGGGGGAAAUGUACCACUGCAGGGAUGCUCCUAGAUAUGAUCAAGGAUGUAGAGAUUGCAAUUUCUUGCCGAAAGGGCAGAACAGGAACUGCGGCUGGUGAUGUGGCUUUCCCCAAAGGAAAAGAAAAUCUGGCAUCUGUCCUCAAACGCUACAAGCGUCGAUUAUCCAACAAACCUGUUGGUGCUCACGACAGUUCUGGGCCACGCAAAGUUCUGACAUCUGCUCCAUAUAGCUCAUAGAUUUUUGUCCUUGGUCGUUGGCUUCUAGUGGUUCAGUGAUUGUGGGGCUGCUUGAUUUUGGACAGCAGCUCAUGGUCUGGAUCAGUUGUCCUCAGUUGUUUGAGGUCUCUCUCUCUCUCUCUCUCUCUCUCUCUCUCUCUCUCAAUGUGUAUCAGUGCUGCAAAUUUUAUUCCCAUGUGUGUUAUAUAUACAUAGGAUAAGAAUUGCUGGAUGUGUAAUUGCGGCAGAAUUAAUCAAAAUGGCUAGAAGAAAGUGGCUUCUUGGCUAAAGGUCAAGAAAAGGGUUAUUGGAACAAAGUCAUUAAUCAUUGGUCAAGAACUCAGACCUGGACAUCCUUGAUAGACGGUCCAUCUACCAGCUAGGGUUCCUGACAAAAGGUAGCGUUAAUUUGAUACGUGCUCUUGGUAUCUGUGCAUUUGGCAAAUAAUACGGCACCAAAGAGCUACCAAAGAGUCAAAAGACAUUGCUGCUGUAGGUGCUCAACUGGUGCCAAGUGCAUCUGGUGGAGCCAAGAAGGCCUAACAAAUGUUGCUACAAGCUUUGUUAUUGCUAGUGUCUAGUGUUUCAUGGAAAAUAUGCUCAUUGGUCUAUAUUAUACUCUUAAAAGAACUAAUAAAAAAAAUCUUGCUGAUGGCGCUCA